rnacentral:lncRNA from 1 species
CCCCGGCAGGAGCCGGGGCUGGACGGGACGCGAGGCUGGUUCUAUCCCGUCUCCGCGCGGAGCAGCGGCCGCCCUGAGGUGCCAGGCGGGGCGGACGCGGGGGGGCGCUUGUCUCGGGGCAGAGCCCUACCCAUGUGCCCUCCUCUGAGCGGGGGCUCCAGCUCUGCGCCCUGCCCCGGGCUGGGUCGUGUCUCGCCCCUACCCGGUGUCCCGGCGCCCGCUCUCCGCCGGUGCCUGCGCUGCCCUCCCAGCCCCCACCCCAACCCACAGCCAGGCCGAGGAGCCGGCCGGCUAGCGGUGUCUGAGUGACCUCCGUGCGCUCCCGAGCCCGGCUGUGCCGGGUGGGCGACUUGGGUGCAGUUUGUCAUCUCCUUCGUCUUCCCCUAACUGCCUCCACCAGGCAUCAUGAGGUUUCUUAGUGACUUUCUCACACCUUUUGAUGCCUCCAAAGAAGAAAUGCAUCCGCCAGGCCCGCAAGGCACAACUGCAGUUCCUUGAAACUCCAAGAGAGGGCCCUAUACAUCACUAUGGAUCUCCACUGCCUUUGGCUGAGAACCCAAGACAUGUUUCUAUCAAACCUCUAGACCAGAAUGCCUCCAUCUCAUGGGGGUUAUGGUGUUUAGGUUGCUUCAAAUUGCAGUCUUG